UACGGAGGGGACGAGCGUUGUCCGAAGUUACUGGGCGUAAAGCGCGCGUAGGCGGGUUGGCAAGUCUGCUGUGAAAGCCCGGGGCUUAACCCCGGAGGUCGGUGGAUACUGCCAGUCUUGAAGGUGCUAGGGGGAGAUGGAAUUACCGGUGUAGCGGUGAAAUGCGUAGAUAUCGGUAGGAACACCAGUGGCGAAGGCGGUCUCCUGGGGCACUCUUGACGCUGAGGCGCGAAAGCUGGGGGAGCGAACGGG
rnacentral:rRNA from 1 species